rnacentral:lncRNA from 1 species
UUGGAGCUCUGUCAGUGAAGCUUACACCGGAAGAGAUGGCUGAGCUCGAAUCAAUUGCUUCUGCAGACAAUGUCAAGGGUGGCAGGUACAAUGGAAACCUCUCUCCAUGGGAAAACUCCGACACUCCACCCCUUUCUUCUUGGAAACCUGCCUAGAAACAUGUCUACUUCUGUUGCUGCGUCUUUGAUAUGCAGAGUUUGUGCAUUUGCCGCUGAAGUAAUUUGAGGCUAUGUUGUGUGGCUGUUAUAAGUACGUGUAAUAAGAGAGUGACUGUUUUCGUUUUGUACAUGUGACAUUCACUAUGAGAAGAUUAUGGAUAUGUUCUAAGCUUACUGGGGAAAGAUCACCCGCUAACACGAGAGCAAGUUUUUUAUGAACCGAGCUUGCCGUGCCGACUUUAUCGGGGUGACUUUUAGAAUAUGAGAAAUUGGGAUUUUGAAGAAUUCAAACUCAGUCAUACAUACUAGAGUGAUGCUUUAUUCUCCUCCAACUAGUCUUGGUCCAGUUUCCAGAGAGAUUAGGUCGAUCCUUGGUCCUAGAAUUUCAGGACUAGCACUGUGCGGGUCGAUUCUUAGUCCUAAGAGUUCUAGGUCGGUCCAAUCCAAACCAACCUUAUAUAUAUAUAUAUAUAUUAUUUAUAAUUUUUUUAUAUAGAGAAAACCUUAAAACAAACGGCGUCAAUAACAUUAAAGAGUUAUUUAGUAAAGAGUUCAAGUAAUUUUACAUUGUUCUUUAAUAUUUUAGAUUUUUAAUGUCUUUUACGAUAUUAAUAGUCAUAAUUUACGAAGGAGGAAAUUGUUUUUGUAAGGAGUCCUCAUGAUAUCUAAAAAGGUAUAAAUGGCAUCAUUCUUUAGUAUUCGUUCUCUUUGGUUUUAUUCGUUCUCUUAAUUAUCAAUUUGCCAAAAUUGAAAGAAGCAAUCGCUCACUUUGGGUCACUCCUGCCGCUCGCCGCUUAAUGCUCGCUUGGCUUGUUGCUCCAUGCUCGAUAUUCGAUAUUUAUUCUGUUCGACGCUCACCCCACUUGACUCUCGUUGCUUGCCUUUUUUAGUUGACCUUGCUCAUCAUCGAAUCCAUUAGGUCAAUAUGGUCCUCAGUUGCUUUUUCAAGGAUUACAAAAAAUGAAAUAAAAAAUUAUUAAUUAGUCCUAAGUUGACCUUGAAACCAGACCGAACCCAUUGGGUCCGUUUGAUCUUCAAUCGCUUUUUUAAGGUGUACAAAAAAUGAAAUAAAAAAUUAUUGGUUGGUCCCGGGUUGACCCUAGAACUGGACCGAACCCAUUGGAUCAGUUCGGUCAUUGGUCCUAAGCUUAAUAGGGUUGGUUCUCGGUCCAAAAAACUGAGGACCAGCAUUGUGUGAGUUGGUCAUAGGGUUAGGGGGUGAACCGGCCCAACCUGGACCAUACUCACUCCUACCUCUAACCAUGAGUUCAAUACUAGCACCAUGUGCAACAUACUCUUAGGACUGGAUGCUACACAUAGAUACAACGCUUCGCUUUGUGUUUGGUUUCGUAGCGAAGUAAAGGAACAGUAAAAUGCUAUUGGAUGUUCUCGCGAAAAUGAAGUUUGGGAUAAAAUGUUGGCGCGGUUGAUAUGAGUGUCGAGGAAAUCGAAGGUUUCUUGUUCAAGUUUAACCACCUACGGUUCAUGAGCUUUUAUGUAGCUCAAUACCUUCGCUCAUGCCUCUGCAUUAUUAUAAAACAGUCGGAGAUAUUGCGCAAGUUUCCUAAAAUUAAAAACAACAAUUCUAUUGUUUUUUAUUUGGAGUUAGAGUGGAGCAAUGUCGUUUUGUUUUGAUUUAGGAAAAUAACGCAAAUAGUCAUUGAACUUUGGUCCAAUGUGUUAUGUUCUUAUUGAACUUUUAAUUUAUUUAGUAUGACUGUCGAACUUUUUAUACAUGUUUAAUUUAGAUCCUAGGCUAGAUAAAUCCAACGAUGCUGUGUUUGGUCGUUCGAACAUCUUUGCUGUAUGGGAUAAUGAAUGGAUGAAAAUCCCAUCUAAUAUUUCUUGACGUCUGGAUAUAGCAUGAUUCAAAAUAAAUCUUUUUUUUUUUAAAUGAGUGUUUGAUUUGUAUAAUUAAAAUUAAAAAUAAACCAUGGAAGUCGUGAAUAGUAUUCAUCCUUUCACAAUCUUCAUCGAUAUUAAACACCCCCGUUCCAUGUGACUUCAAGGACGCUCUCUCCUUCUGCAACGCCCCUUUCGCUGCCCUUGAUCAACUUGAUGGAUUACGCUCGCUCUACCUUUGACUUCGCCACAUUGAGAGGCCCUUGGGUUUGAGUUCUCCGCUGGUCUAGCCAUCUUUACUUCGAAUGCCUUUUCCUGCGAUGAAUCCAUCCCCUUCGACGAGUGCGAAUACUGCGUUGAUUCCCUGUUACCGUGCCCCGACUUGUUCAGUCGCUUCAACAGCUUCCCCCGAGACAGCGUGCGGAUCCGGUUUAUGAGUGGUAGCACCAUCGGUGCUACUCGCUCCGAGUGACGUGGUUGAAGAGCUCUAUCACCUUGGCUGCCGCCUCUUUCGGAUCAUCUUCUUCACAGAGAAGAUGUCCAGCUUUGAUCGGGAUCACAAAGUUCCCUACUAAAAUGGAGUUAAGUGACAUAAGAAAGAGGCAGGGCUGACGAGCUCCGACGCCACUUUUCCGAGGCAGCCAAAGGUGGUAAGCAGCUUGUCACUGGUAGGAGGAACGGUGGCCCUUAGACUUUGCUCAGGUCGUUGUGGCGAGGGCUUCUCUAGGUAUCUUCGCGAUACUCAUGCUCUAAGUUUGUGGUGGUCAUUUUAGUGAGAGAAAUUGAAACAAGAGAGAUGAUGCGGCACCGGUCAAAAGUGAGGAUAAGCCAUCAACAAGCGCAGGAGUGGGGGAAAAACUUGUAUCCCUUAUUUUUUUCAAUUUUCCAAAUUUCACAUAUCCUAUUUGGAUCUAUAUCACUUUCUAGAUGAGAUUUUUUAUCCGGACUAUAUCCAAAUUUCACGUUACUCUAAACACCGGAUAUGAUCAAACUUAUCAUAUCAGAGUUUUAUUCGGCCCAUCAAAGACAGACUUAUGAGAUAGAAUGCAAUGAUAUAAUCUAUGAAUUAGAUUAAACAUUUAUUAAAAGUUUAAGAAUAAUAUUUCACAUUUUGAUUGUUAGGAUGCACGAGUGAGUUAUGUUAAAACAAUCCCACAAUAUAUUGAUAGCUUUGUAAUAAGGCUUUCUCUUGGUGAUGACAUAGAUCCAUAUGGAGAAAUUAAUGGGAGGGUUUAUUUGGCCUAACUAAAUGGGAGGCUAUAUCAAUCGGAGCUUUUUCAUUGUAACAUUCCCUUGUGCUUGGUAUUUGUAUUUUAGUAAAAGGAUUUUGCUAGCAUAAUAAUCUUUGGGUUAUCAUGAGAAUAACAAUUUAUUAUGAUUUACAAAAUUUUAAAAUAGUAAACCUCAAUUCAAUUUUAAACUUUUUUUUUUCUAACUAAUUCAAUCCUAAAUAUUUUGCAUUUGUGACAAUUUAGUCUAUUCGGCCAUUUUUCGCCAAGAGGCAUUGAUGUGAACUUUGGCUGAUCGACCAAUGCUGACAUGGACAAUUUUUUUAAUAAUAUUUUAUUUUUCUUAUUUUUUAUUAAUUUUUUCUUUCUUUUUUUCUUCACUUCCUUCUCCUUCCUCCAGCCAGUCGGCAAGAGGCAAGGUUGGUGAGGGACCUUGCUGGCCUUGAGGAAGCUUGGCCAUGGUUGGGCAACCUUGCUCGUGGCUAGGCGACCUCGCCGAGGCCGCCGAUUGGGCUGGCGAGGGUUGACCCUCGUUGGCCAUAGGUCAGGACAAAGGCUGCUAGUUGGGCUUGCCCUUAUUGAAUCUGGUGAGGGUUGAGUCUCAUUGGCCAUGGGCAAGGUCAAAGGCCGCGACCUCUCGUGGUCUCUGGCGAGGCUUGCCAAAGGUUGAGCAAGGCUUACCCUCAUUGGACUGACGAGGGUUGAGCCUCGUCAGCCAAGAGCGAGAUCGUAACUUGCCCAUGGCCGGUGAGGCUCGCCUAGGCCAAAGACAGGCGGGGCCUUGCCUAACCAUGGCAAGGGUGGCCUCACCAUUGUUGGGUGAGGCUAGCCCUUGCCAGUGGCGUGUGGGGGUAAGCCUUGCCAUUGGUUGGCAAGGCUGACUUCACUGGCUUGAAUAAAAUAAAAUAUUAUUAAAAGAUUAUUCACAUCAAUAUUAGCCGAACGAGUGGUGCUCGUCGGCCAAAAUUGGCCGGAUGAAUUGAAUUAGUAUAAUUGCAAAAUGUUUAGGACUGAAUUGGCUAGAAAAAAAAAAGAUUUUAAGACUAAAUUAGAAAAAUUGCAAUAAGUUUAUGAUUGUUUUGGUAAUUUUUUCGUAUAAUAACCCUAGUAAAGAUGACUCACUUAAUUUGAGCGUCAAUAAAUCAAAGGUCACUUGUUUAGUUCUCACAACUUAUUUGUAAAUCACUUUAGAAGUGCAAAUCCAAUCAAUUUAUGAGCUUGCAAAAUGAGUCUCUAGAUAAACCAACUUUUGUAUUCGUGCUUCAGGAUUAUAAUAAAAUAUUAGAGGUUUUCAUCAGUGUAUCAUGAUAGGCUAGAUAGGGCGUUUUCUUUUGCACUUGUCAUACAUGAUCAUUUUGUAUCCUUUGAACUCAUGUUAUUUGUUGGUACUAGGUUGAGUGGUAAUAUGAUCUCCUACCUUAUACUUAGAUAUUUCAUUUAUUAGGCUUCGCCUCACUCCUUUUUUUCUUUUUUUUUCUUUUUUGUUGUAGGAUGAUUCCCCUAAAGAUGGUGACGGAGGGGCCGAGUUGAUAUCGGAAGCCAUUAAUCCUUGAGUUGGAUGGUAGUUUAGUUAGUAUGGAUGUAAUGGUAUUAGGUGACCCCGAUCUUUCCUAGGACUAUAAAAUUUUUUGUGAUAAUUACUAUCGAUAUUGUAUAAAGCCAAAGACACUUUUUUUUUUAAUAAACUCAUGCAUUUUUCUAGUAAAGGAUGUUGUGAAAACUUUAUUGUCUUUUCCAUGCGUAAUUAUAACUAUGAGUAUAAAUGGAAAUGACAUGUGCCGCAUGUGAUGUUCCAAGGCGUCACAUAAUCCCCAACACUCAAAUUAGGGUCCAUUAAGGCAGUGCUUAAAACUAUGAUGCUCAAGUUCUAUUCGGCAGCACUUAGGCUCGGGUCCAACAAGAUCGUGUGUCAGUCCUCAAUGCUCGGGCUCGGCUCGUUAGUUAAUAAAAUGUUGUUCUUAUAAAAAUAAUUCUUUUUAUUUUCAUUUUAUAUUCAUUUGUUUUCUUUCUUUUUCUUUCUCCUUCUUCUUGGCUGGUUGCCGACCAUGAUGACGAUUGCGCCUGAGAACAAGCGAGAGAUGAGCUAGCCCAAGGCCAAGAAGACUUGAGAUUGCUGAUUUGGCAAGCUUGAAGUUGGUUGAUCAAGUGACGCUAAAGCUCCCUAGCGUUGGGCAACCUCGAGUUUCACCUCAUGGCUAGUCGCCAACUACCACCGUGGCGAGCGAUCGGUUGAGGAAGAAGAAAAAUAAAAAUAAAAUUAAAAGAGAAAAUAACUAAAAAUCUGAAUAUUUUGGCAUUUUCUAUAGGGAAAUCAAAUCGAAAAAAUAUUUUCUAGUUUAUCUUUAGGACUUAACCAAAUAUUGGAAAUAUUAUUCAGAUAUGUCAUAUUUUUUGCGAAACAAACGGUGCGUAAAUAUUUAGAUUUGAUAAUUGUCCAUGUUAAUUAGGUACACAUUAUCUCACUCUUUGUUUCGUUGCCGAACUGAUGCUAAUCUCUAGACGAAGCUUGACUAGUCUCAACUCAAUAGGCGGCUUGACUUUUGCGCUUCCUUUUCUUCUUUUCUUUUUUCUUUUUAACUCAAAACACUCAAAACUUUCCUGGUACACGACUGUCGUCGUGUUACAAUCACUUUCAAUAAUGAUGGCCAUCCGAGCAAGAUGAGGGCGACUGGUCCCCCUAGAAAUUGUCAUGACGUUUGACUUUCAUGAAUUGAAAUGACUUUUCUCUGUCAAGGAGAAAAAUAGUUAACUAGUCAAGAUCGUGCCACAUCUCUCCAUCCAUGUCCUCCACAUCCGGCCCCACCAAUCGGACUCCCCGACAAAAAAAAUCGAGGACACGUGGCUGGAUCUAGAAAGUCACAGGUUCGACUUGUCUACUGUUAUCACUGUCCUUUUGCAAUAAUUUUUUUACACCCGUCUAGCUGUUGUGAGCUCCUCUGACAUACUAAUUGUGUGGAUAUGGUGAACUUGGGACCUUCUAUAAUCUGUCCAUAUUAAAAAUUUAAAAUGGACAAAUUCCGCCUCUCAUUGUGGAAUUCCACCCACAUUUCUCGCAAACUUUCAAACAUUAGUUCCAGGUCGUGCAUUCCAAUUGAGCCUUGUCUGGUCAAAUAUCAAAGUACUCUAGAGAAAAAUUUUAAAAAAAAUUGUAAAAAAGAGAGAGAAGGAAAACGAUUCAGCCUUAUAAUAACUUGCUAGGAACCACGUAGUUAAUUAGAGCAUCAAGAAAUUAGAGGUAGCUUGUGUAGUUCUCGCAAGUUACUUGUAAAUUGCUUUAGAAGUACAAACUUAAUUGAUUUAUGAGCUUGCACCAUAUUUUAUGAGUUUCUGAAUAACCAACUUUUGUAUUCAUGCAACUCACUCCGCUGUGACUGAGUUGGUUCGGACGUUCCCUCCUCUUCCAAUUGGGGGGAGGUUUGAGUCACCACGAUUGCAUUUGCGCAACUUAAGUGCGGCGCCAUGAGAGGUGGGUCCCCGUGCUAGCGUCACCGUGGGUUUACGUCGCCAGCUGCCGGUUGUACGGCGAUUCUCAAGUCAUAAAAAAAAAAGAAAAAAGAAAAUUUGUAUUCAUGCUUGUAGAUUAUAAUAAAAUAAUUGGUUGUGGUGGGCAAUUGAGAGUGACACCGUUUUCGCCUUUUAUUUUUUGUAAUAUGUGAAGUGUUGUUCUGUUUUUUGUUUUCGUCACCCUCCCACUUGUGCUAUAUUUGUUAGGUCUCCUCGCCAGGAGUUCGUCACUUUAUGUUAUUGACCUCUUAAUUAAAUACAACAAUACCUUCAAGGACUGCUCUUCAUAAAGGCGCGGAUUGGACGGCCGGUGACCGAGAUAGCAGCCUCCGCCCCUCCCUCGGUCUUGCCCUUUGCAUAACUUUUAGAAAACAUGCGUGAUUAGAGGAUCAAUAGUGACUUAAUUCUAACCCGUAUCGAUGUUACCCGUUUAGCAUCUCUUAGUAAAUGUAAAUAUUGUACGCGGAUGACAGCAUUUUGAAGAAUUUACAAUUGGUGUUCUUUUAUUAAAUAUGGUUGAUAUCAUGAAAAAUCUUAGAUUGAUACAUUUGCGACAAACUUAUCCCAAACUAUUUUUUUUACACAAAAACCGUAAACUAGUAUAUUUGUAAUUUUACCUAAAACUAUUUUUUUUUAUCGUCAAAAACCUCAAACUGAUAUAUUUGUAGCAAAAUUACUCUUUACUAACUAGUGUUAAAUUAUACUAAUAUGAAUUGGUACAUCUAUGACAAACGAAGGGUAAAAUCCUAAAUUGGUACACUCAUUAACUAUCAUAUGUCAUUUAACUCAGUAAUUUAAUAGUACAAUUUAAGGGAAAUUAACGGAGGGUCAAUUUGUCAUAGGUGUAUCGGUAUGAGAUUUUUGAUAGCAAAUGUAGGAGUUUUACAUGGUAUUAAACUCUAUUGCAUAUGAUCAAAAGUCCUAGUUUCUACUAUUUUUGUCGACACAAUACCUUAAAAAACCUCAAACUUAAGCUCUGAUCCUAAUUCUAUCUUUUGUGUUAUAAGACCUCCAACUUUAGAUCAUGUCCCAAUUCCACCCUAACAUACAUAUUUUAGAAAACCCCAUAUUUUAGUUAUAGUCCCAAUCUUAUCUAAACAUCUGUUAUCUCAUAAAAUCCCUCAAAUUUAGGUCAAGUACCAAUUCCAACCUAAACGUUAUUUUGUCUUAUAAAAAGAAUCCUAGCUUUAGGUCCAAUUUCAUUUUCACUUUUUUUUUUUAUCUCAUAAAAGAUUACCAACUUUUACUUGAGUCCCAAAUCCACUCUCCAUUAACCCUCCAUCAAAAUUGCCCUUAGUGAUUUUGUGCUCGGUUUUUGAUCUCGCGUGCUUGGAAAUAUUUCAUUUCUCUUGAACAACUUGUGCUUGAGGGUUUUCCAUCUCUCGAUGUCAGCAGGAAAUUUUGCACGAAGGGUUAAUGGUGGCAAAUAUGCGACUCAAGUAAAAAUUUAUAGUUUUUUCAUCAGACUAUAAAAAUUUUACGGUAAUAUUGAGAGUGGAUAGGCUUUUCAUAAGACAAGAAAAGGUUUAAGGUAGAAUUAGUAUAUUAUUUAAAAUUGAAUUGUGAAUGGCUAUAAAAUUAGUGAUUUUUUUUAUGAGAUAAAAGGUAAAAUUAGGAGAAAAGCUAAAGUUAGAGAGUUUUUUUUAGGGUAUCAAACCUAUUUUUGUCAAUCAUAUGAUGUCAACAUUAUCUUUGUUUUUGUUUUUCUUUCAAUUGUCCAUUUGGUCGGUUCUUUUCUAUUCUUAUUCUCAAACUUUUGCCUUGACUCAUUACAAGUGUGAGAAUUGAAACCACAUUUGAUACUAUAUUGUCCCCCGGUAGGCAUUCAAAACCCCCAUCUCCCGCUUCUCAUGUAAGUUAUGAAUGGAGCCUUCGUGUCGUGUCCGACACGCUCGAAGAUGCGGUCAAUACGUGUUCGAAAUCCGACACGUGAACAAUUCUUAUUGACACAUUCUAACACACAAGUCCGAGAGAGAGGAUCGUUGAAGAAAACAAUGGCAAGGGAGCGAAGGCAACGGCAAGGCCACGACGGUGAGAGAGGGCUAGAGGAAGAGUAGAGACCGAGAUGACCUAAAGAGAGGAUCGUGACUGCAAUGGAGGGCCGGUGGCGAGACUGCACCUAUGUAGGAGGAAGGGUUGGAGGUGAGGCGGCAAGCGAUUAUGACAAGGCAAUCAAGAGAGAGAAGAGAUUGAGAGGUGGAUGGUCGUGCGAGGAGGAGGGGAAGGCCAGGGCUAGGGUUUUUGAAGGGGGAAAAUCAAAAAAUUAAAAACAUGAUUUUGAUGGGACAUUAGGGUUGUGCAAGGAGGAGGGGAAGGCCAGGGCUAGGGUUUUUGAAGGGGAAAACUCAAAAAAAUUAAAAACAUGAUUUUGAUGGGACAUUGCUGUGAUUUCUCCUUUAUGGAGAGGGGGAGCGUGUCGGGAGGUGGAGGGGGAGGGCAGAUAAAUGAGGGAAAGAUGAGUGAAAUAAGUUUGUUGGGGGCACAAAAGGAGGGGUUGGUAGGACCUGAGCAAGUCCUUAGACUGCUCCGUCUGGUCGGAAAUAGCCCACGGACGUAAAAUGUGGGCAAUGUUAAUCGUGGGAGAUCAGACCACCCUGUGUAAGGAUCUCCUGGCUCAGAUUCCCGCGAUGCCUUUCUCCUAACAUAUUAGGCUGGGUACAGGAAAAUGAUGAGUGAAAUAAGUUUGUUGGGGGGGGGGGGCACAAAAGGAGGGGUUGGUAAGGGUUGGCAUGGACCCCAUGGAUUUUUAUUUUUUUUUAAUCAAAAAAAUAAAUAAGGAAGGCCAGAAAGUGGGGGAAGAAACUAUGGAAAGAGAGUGAAGUAAAUGUGGGGGUGAGGGUUGGGGUGGACCACGGGGGUCUUUUCUUAUCAGAAAAAUAAAUAAGAAAAACUAUAAGGUGAUUUCGGAAAAUGAAAGUGUUGAAUGUUGAAUAAUAAUAAAAUUUGAUAAUUGUAAAAGAUUAUAGAUUUAUUUAAAUAAGUUAAUUCUAAUUUUUCUUAAUCAUUAGUUUUAUCAAUAAUUUUUGUUAGAGUUAGAAAUAUGUUCGUAUGGAUGCUAUAUGGCAUAUGGAAAGGGUGGCCUCACUUCUGGCGUUUCAUGUAUGGAAAGAGUGAUUAUUAAUGGCGCAUUUGGUAACGUUUUUGUUUCGGAGGACAAUUUUUGAAUAGAAAUAGUUUUUUUUUUUGUUCUAGGGAAUAAUUUUUGAGUAUAAGAAUGUGUUUGGUAACUGCAAACAAUUUCUACUCUAAAAAUAGAAACGCGCUUGGUAAACUUGUAUAAUUUCUUUGUUUCUUUUAAUUUUUUAAUAUUUUUAAUAUUUUUUUUCUUUUUUUCUUUUUUCUUUUUCUCUUUGGUCGGUUGCUGGCUAUGGCGAUGUCCGUUGAGCCUUGUCCAGGCAACGCGAGGUUCGCCUCGUGCCGAUUGGGGAGGUCAAGGCCUCUUGGCUUUGUCUGGGCUAAGCGAGGUUGACCUUGCCCAGCCACCGGCGAGACUCGGCCUCGCUGGGCCACCGCUAGGCGACUCUGUCCUGGAGGUGGCUCGGCGAGGUCGAGCCUCAUGCGGCCAUGGCGAGGCUCGGCCUCUCUGGGGGCUAGCGACACUCCGGCGAGGUCGUCGGCUCUCGUCUAGCCAGUUGCCGGUGUCAACUAUGGCUAAGGCUGAUGACNNNNNNNNNNNNNNNNNNNNNNNNNNNNNNNNNNNNNNNNNNNNNNNNNNNNNNNNNNNNNNNNNNNNNNNNNNNNNNNNNNNNNNNNNNNNNNNNNNNNCGUCUGGUCGAAAACAGCCCAUGGACGUAAAAUGUGGGCAAUGUUAAUCGCGGGAGAUCGGACCACCCUGUGUAAGGAUCUCUCGGUUCAGAUUCCCGCGAUGCCCUUCUCCUAACGUAUUAGACUGGGUACAGGAAAAUGACGAGUGAAAUAAGUUUGCUGGGGGCACAAAAGGAGGGGUUGGUAAGGGUUGGCAUGGACCCCAUGGACUUUUAUUUUUUUAUCAGAAAAAUAAAUAAGGAAGGCUAGAAAGUGGGGGAAGAAACUAUGGAAAGAGAGUGAAGUAAAUGUGGGGGUGAGGGUUGGGGUGGACCACGGGGGUCUUUUCUUAUCAGAAAAAUAAAUAAGAAAAACUAUAAGGUGAUUUCGGAAAAUGAAAGUGUUGAAUGUUGAAUAAUAAUAAAAUUUGAUAAUUGUAAAAGAUUAUAGAUUUAUUUAAAUAAGUUAAUUCUAAUUUUUCUUAAUCAUUAGUUUUAUCAAUAAUUUUUGUUAGAGUUAGAAAUAUGUUCGUAUGGAUGCUAUAUGGCAUAUGGAAAGGGUGGCCUCACUUCUGGCGUUUCAUGUAUGGAAAGAGUGAUUAUUAAUGGCGCAUUUGGUAACGUUUUUGUUUCGGAGGACAAUUUUUGAAUAGAAAUAGUUUUUUUUUUUGUUCUAGGGAAUAAUUUUUGAGUAUAAGAAUGUGUUUGGUAACUGCAAACAAUUUCUACUCUAAAAAUAGAAACGCGCUUGGUAAACUUGUAUAAUUUCUUUGUUUCUUUUAAUUUUUUAAUAUUUUUAAUAUUUUUUUUCUUUUUUUCUUUUUUCUUUUUCUCUUUGGUCGGUUGCUGGCUAUGGCGAUGUCCGUUGAGCCUUGUCCAGGCAACGCGAGGUUCGCCUCGUGCCGAUUGGGGAGGUCAAGGCCUCUUGGCUUUGUCUGGGCUAAGCGAGGUUGACCUUGCCCAGCCACCGGCGAGACUCGGCCUCGCUGGGCCACCGCUAGGCGACUCUGUCCUGGAGGUGGCUCGGCGAGGUCGAGCCUCAUGCGGCCAUGGCGAGGCUCGGCCUCUCUGGGGGCUAGCGACACUCCGGCGAGGUCGUCGGCUCUCGUCUAGCCAGUUGCCGGUGUCAACUAUGGCUAAGGCUGAUGACUGGCAAAAGGAAGAAGAAGAAGAAGAAGAAGAAGAAAAGAAAGAGAAAAUAGAAGAAGAAAAAUGAUAAGAAAAAAAAGUGUUUUUCGAAAGUGUUCUCGAGAAUAAGAAAUAAGUUUUUUUUUUUAAUUUCUUAUUUUUGUUCCAAAGUUGCUCUCACAAUAAAAAAAAAAGACCAGAAUAAAAGUAUAAACAAAUGAGUUUCUAUUCUUUUUUGGUUCUCUGGAACAAAAUAAUAAAAAUUUAUAUUCCAGGAAAAAAAAAUAAUUUUAAACGAACACACCCUAAGAUAUCUUUUGUAUUCCGGGGAAGUAGUUCAAUUGACGUGAGCCCGUGCGUCUUCCCUACAUGGGAAGGGUCGUCACUGGGUCUCAUCUGACCUAAGCAAGUGCGUCUUCACAGCUUUUACCGCUCCCCUCCUACACUUCGUAGCUACCGCCACUCCCCUCCUAUAAAUCUCGGCUCGCCCGACGCCUUCGCCAUCGUCUCGGUGCAGUGCAGGGAACGAGCGAGCUCGAGCUAGACGACGGCAAUGGCGGCUUCGACGACGACGGUGAGGAGGAUCAAGCUGGGGUCGCAGGGCCUCGAGGUGUCGGUGCAGGGGCUGGGCUGCAUGGGCAUGUCCGCCUUCUACGGCCCUCCCAAGUCCGACACCGACAUGAUCGCCCUGAUCCACCACGCCGUUGGCUCCGGCGUCACCUUCCUCGACACCUCCGACAUCUACGGCCCCCACACCAACGAAACCCUCCUCGGAAAGGUCGGUUCUCUCUCAGUCUCUGUUUUGCCUCCGCAUGAAUUAUAUGUGCUUAUAGUGUUACGGAAUUUAGCUUCAUCGAGCAGAGUGCUCUGAUCCUGCGCCUUGGUUUUCUGAUUUCGGGGUUGAUUUUGAGCAGGCACUGAAGGGAGGGGUGAGGCAGAAGGUGGAAUUGGCGACCAAGUUCGGAAUCAGCUUCGCGGACGGGAAGAGGGAGGUCCGGGGCGAUCCGGCGUACGUGAGGGCGGCUUGCGAGGCCAGCUUGAAGCGGCUUGACAUCGAUUGCAUCGACCUCUACUACCAACAUCGCAUCGACACUCGCGUCCCCAUCGAAGUCACUGUAUGGAUCCCCCAUCAAACUUUCACCUCGCUUGAGACUUUCUCCGAGCCAUAUGAUUAGUUGCUAAGUUAGAUUGGUGUUGAUGAUGCAUCGUCAUGUUGUUACAAGUUUGUUGAAAUUUGUUAAAUGACACUUAAGUUCGGCUGAUAGCAGAGUUCAAGAUGCGGCACGUUGUUGUUCAAGGGGUUGUGGAAUUUAGUAGUUUAGUGGCUUGAGUUUUCGUUUUGUGGGCAUCUUUUACAAGUUAAGGGUCAACAAGCAUGAAAAUUAUUCAAAAUCUUCCUUUGAGAUGAAAGUGCUCCAGGGUUCAUCCAGAAUUUAUAUACGGGAAUCACAUAUAAAGUUGUUCCUGGACUUUAUGUGGAGACAUUUGAUUCUUGACAUAUUGUGAAAUAUGACAAGUACUUGGAAUACUUCUUUUAUUUGCUCUCUUCUGUGAGAGAUUCAAGAAAUCAACCUCCGUUAACUCAAUACCUUGUGACUUUUUUGUCGCAUUGAGAUGCAUGAUAAUAGAGGGAUCUAGACGCAUAAAAAGCUAAUGACAUGCAUAAUUUUCUGGAUCUUAACAUGUAAGAUCUUGAUGUUGUUGUUCUGUCAUGUGAAUAUGCACAGAUCGGAGAGCUAAAGAAGCUCGUUGAAGAAGGUAAGAUAAAGUACAUCGGUUUAUCCGAGGCCUCUGCAUCAACAAUCAGAAGAGCACAUGCUGUUCAUCCCAUCACAGCAGUGCAAUUGGAGUGGUCGCUUUGGUCAAGAGAUGUGGAGGCAGAGAUCGUUCCAACGUGCAGGUAGGAUAUCACUCUGUUAAUUGUUUAUGCAGCAACAACAGCUUCCUUCUGACUCUGCUUUUCCUUUAAAAUGCUGACUAGGGAGCUUGGCAUUGGAAUUGUUGCCUACAGUCCUUUAGGACGAGGAUUCUUUUCUGUUGGCUCCAAGUUGGUGGAGAAUAUCUCUAAGGAUGACUUCAGACAGGUCUGUUCCUGCUUGUCAACAUAAUUAGAUGUUUACAUUGACUGUCAUUCUUAUUGAAGUGCUGGAAACCUGUUCUUGUGGUAUAAAGAAAAAGUAUCUGGAUGGGAUGAAUAAAACUUGGUGACACGAAUGCUUCGUGUUCUUAUAUGUCUUUAAUCCAGCACUUGCCAGACAUCCCACCUCUCUUGAUUCUAGAUAAAUGUAAAAUCACAAGUAACGGCUUUAAUGAGCCUGAAAGAGGCAGUUUCCUGGAUUCUCGUGCUUUUGGGAAUGAAUACAUAUAGGUUUAUAUGUAAGUUGCUCUGUUUCCCAGCCUUCCCAACAUUUGCUUAUCACUAUCCUUUCCCCACUUUCCACCCACCCUUUUUCUCUCAUCUUUCUUCACAAGAAUAGCGAUAUUUCCUCGAAAUAACUGACGCCAGUAUCGGGCUUUGGCCCUCCGUCCUUUUUCAUUCUCAUCUUUCUUCACAAGAUAAACUAUAUCUUGACACAACCAUUUCUUGAGCGCGGACUCCCGACACCCUUCUUAUGAGAGUUUUGGAUCAAGUUCCCAUCUGACAUAAAGCCAAUUGUGUAUUACUCCCCGCCAUUAGCGUUUGACUAGCGAUAGUGCUGGGCAAGUGAAGUAGCUAUUUUUCUUUGUAGCUAAAAGAGCUCUGCGUCUGAUAACAUUCUUCUACUCAUCAUCUACAUUUCUGAUUUUUUAUUUUAUGUGACUAAUGGUAUCAUCACACGUACAAAACUUAGAUUGUCGAGUUUGUUUCUGUUUUCACAUCCUACAUCAAGCCCAUCAGCCUUGUGUGGUAGUUGCUAGAUCACUUCGCUUGACGUUUCUAAUGCUUAUGAUUUGGGACAUGAUAUUUUAAUCAUUUCAAGAUAAUUUAUAACUGAUCAUGCUUUUUCAGAUACACAACGAUUGCACACUUCUAAAUGCUUAUUAUGUCAAGUAACAAGACAAUCCGAUGGCAUGCAAUGCAACCACUUUUGCACUUGUUGCUGUAGAAUUUAGCCUUAAGAGGAAAAUGAUAAUUUCUCAUAUGCUCUCUGCUGAGACAUUGCUCUAUGUUAUGCAGUAUCUACCAAGGUUCCGGCCAGAGAACUUGGCUCACAACACGAAGUUAUUUGACCGAGUGAAUGAAAUUGCGCAAAGAAAGGGAUGCACCACAUCGCAGUUAGCCCUGGCCUGGGUACACCACCAGGGUGACGACAUUUGCCCGAUUCCCGGCACAACCAAGAUCGAGAAUUUCAACCAGAACAUUGGAGCUCUGUCAGUGAAGCUUACACCGGAAGAGAUGGCCGAGCUUGAAUCGAUUGCUUCUGCGGACAAUGUCAAGGGUGGCAGGUACGAUGGAAGCAUGUCUACAUGGGAAAACUCCGACACUCCACCCCUUUCUUCUUGGAAACCUGCCUAGAAGCGUGUCUGCUUCUGUUGCUGCAUCUUUGAUGUGCAGAGGUUGAGCAUUUGCCGCUGAAGUAAUUUGAGUUUAUGUUGUGUGGCUGUUAUAAGUAUGUGUAAUAAGAGAGUGACUGUUUUCAUUUUGUACAUGUGACAUUCACUAUGAUAAGAUUAUGGAUGUGUACUAACCUUACUGGGGAAAGAUCACUCGAUAAACACGAGAGCGAGUUGAAUACGAACUGAGCCUGCCGUGUCGACUUUAUUGGGGUGACUUUUAGAAUCUGAGAAAUCGGGAUUUUGAAGAAUUCAAACUCAGUCGUACAUACUAGAGUGGUAUUCUCCACCAACCAUGAGUUCAAUCUCUUAAGACUGGAUGCUGCACAUAGAUGCAAAGCUUCGCUUUGUGUUUGGUUUGGUAGCGAAGUUAAGGAACAGUAAAAUGUUACCGGAUGUUCUCGCGAAAACGAAGUUGGGGAUAAAAUGCUGGCGCGGAUGAUAUGAGCGUCGGGGAAAUCGAGGGUUUCUUGUUCAAGUUUCACCACCUACGGUUCAUGAGCUUUUAUGUAGCUCGAUACCUUCGCUCAAUGCCUCUGCAUUAUUAUAAAACAGUCGGAGAUAUUGCGCAAGUUUCCUAAAAUUAAAAACGACACUUCUAUUGUUUUUUAUUUGGAGUUAGAGUGGUGCAAUGUUGUUUUGUUUUGGUUUAGGAAAAUAACGCAAAUAGUCACUACACUUUGGUCCAAUGUGUUAUGUUCUUACUGAAUUUUUAACUUGUUUAAUAUGGUUGUCGAGCUUUUUGUAUAUGUUUAAUUUAAAUCCUAGGCUAGAUAAAUCCAAUGAUGCCGUGUUUGGUCGGUUCGAAGAUCGUUGCUAUAUGGGAUAAUGAUAGGAUAAAAAUCCCAUCUAAUAUUUCUUGACGUCUGGAUAUAACAUGAUUCAAAUAAUUUUUUUUUUAAACGAGUGUUUGAUUUGUAUAAUUAAAAUUAAAAAUAAACCAUGGAAGUCGUGAAUACUAUUCAUCCUUUCACAAUCUUCAUCCAUAUCAAGCACCCCCGUUCCAUGUGACUUCAAGGACGCUCGCUCCUUCUGCAACACCCCUUUCGCUGCCCUUGAUCAACUUGAUGGAUUACGCUCGCUCUGCCUUUUGACUUCGCCACAUUGAGAGGCCCUUGGGUUUGAGUUCUCCGCUGGUCUAGCCAUCUUUAUUUUCAACGCCUUUUCCUGCGAUGAAUCCAUCCCCCUCGACGAGUGUGAAUGCCGCGUUGAUUCCCUGUUACCGUGCUCCGACUUGUUCAGUCGCUUCAACAGCUUCCCCCGAGACAGCGUGCGGAUCCGGUUUAUGAGUGGUAGCAGCAUCGGUACUACUCGCUCCGAGUGACGUGGUUGAGGAGCUCUAUCACCUUGGCUGCCGCCUCUUUCGGAUCAUCUUCUUCACAGAGGAGGUGUCCAGCUUUGAUCGGGAUCACAAAUUUCCCUACUAAAAUGAAGUUGAGUGACACAAGAAAGAGGCAGGGCUGACGAGCUCCGCGAUACUCAUGCUCAUGCUCUAAUUUUGUGGUGGUCAUUUUAGCGAGACAAAUUGGAACAAGAGAGAGAUGAUGGUGGCACUGGUCAAAAGCGAGGAUAAGCUAUAAAAAGCGCCCCGCCGCCCGGGGGGGGGGGGGGGGGGGGGGGGGGGGUCAGUUUUUCAAAUUUCACAUAUUUUAUCUGGAUUUAUAUCACUUUCUAGAUGUGAUUUUUUAUCCGUGCUAUAUCCUAAUUUCACAUUACUCUAGACACCAUAUAGGAUUAAACUUAUCAUAUUAGAGUUUUAUCCAGCCCUUCAAAUGCAGUCUUAUGAGAUAGAAUGCAAUGAUAUAAUCUGUGAACUAAAUUUAAACAUUUAUUAAAAGUUUACGAACGGAAUUUCACAUUUUGAUUGUUAAGAUGCAUGAGUGAGUUAUGUUAAAAUAAUCACACAAUAUAUUGAUAGCUUUAAAAAUGGGCUUUCUCUUGGUGAUGACGUUGAUCCAUAUAGAGAAAUUAAUGAGAGGGUUUAUUUGGCCUAACUAAAUGGGAGGCUAUAUCAAUGGGAGGUUUUUCAUUGUAACAUUCCCUUGUGCUUGGAAUUUGUUUUUUAGUAAAGGAUUUUAUUAGCGUAAUAAUAGUCUUUGGGUUAUUAUGUGAAUAACAAUUUAUUGUGAGUCACAAAUUUUUUAAAGUAAUGAACCCCAUAAUAAUUUCAAUUAUUUGUUACUUGAUUUUUUGUAGUUUAGAAUAAAAAUUAUCACCAAGUUAUUUCUUUUUAACAAAUAUAUUGCUCUAACUGUUGUUUUCAAUUAAGUUUGCAUCGGAGAAGAGAUUAUUUUGUUUUGCUACGCUUGUCGGAUAUUGCACAGGAUAUUGUCAUUUUCUUAGCACUAGCAACGUUGCGUUCAGACAAGGCGGCAUGGAAUUAUUUGCUCAGCUGCACAUCACACGACCAUACAUUCAUGGACUGUUCCUCAGGAAAGCAUAUAGACAUGUGGCAGAUGCAGAACAUUUCACGAGAUUAAAAAAAAGAAAAUAAUUUUUAAAAAACAAUACUUUCGACUUCAAAACGUGCCAAUCGAACGCCUGCUACUCCCGCCUAUAAAGCUCGGCUCACCCAACGGCUUCGUUGUCGUCUCGAACUGUCCAUUCUCCAUUCUCUGUUCUUGCAUCGACCUCGAGCUAGACGAUGGUGGCAAUGGCGUCGUCAGACGGUGAGGAGGAUCAAGUUGGGGUCGUAGGGUCUCAAGGUCUCGGCGCAGGGGCUGGGCUUGCAUGGGCAUGUUGGAAGAUAUGCGGAUUGCCUGAUUUGAUUUGAUCUUAAUUGAUCAUGAUUAAUCACGAUCUUCAUGUAUAUGUAAAUUAAAAAUUAGAUCUAGAUCUCGAUUGAUAAUCCAGAUCAUUUACUUCCUUAUUCAAGAUAGAGCUUGUAUUAUAUCUCUGCAAAAUUGUACAUUCAGAUUGUAAUAGUGAUAAUACAGAAAAAUCUCCCCACAUCGAUUCCCAUUUUCCUCUCCAAACUUCAUCCGUUCUUCCUUCACUCUUGCCUUCUUUCAUGGUAUCAGAGCAGCUUUGAUCUCUGACUCGCUUCCGUUCCAAACCACUGCUGAAGAAAAUUCUCAACCUGCAAAAGGGUUGAUCUUUCGGCAUUAGGCAUACUCUCGAAGGAAGAAAUUUAAAUUAUCUUACUAUGGCCUCUCCGCAGGACUCCAGUCUGGCUGCUGACGACAGGACCACCGAAGAAAGUAGUCCUCAAGCUCCACAGAUCCAGAAUCUCCCUGCAGUAAUACCAGUAUCCACCCAACCCCAGCAGUGGCGGCCCACGCAGGCUCAGUUUCAAUUGGGGCAACCCACGACGGGUCAACCAUACUAGUGGAUCCCCUAUCCACUCUAUUUUGGGCCAAGCCCAAAUUUCUCAUCGCCUUUUUUCGUGGGCCACCAGAAUCACAAUGGAGGCCCGCCAGCCACGAAUGGGGCAAGCCCAUCCAUCGCGAGAGAGCAGACGGGCGGUUCAAGCGAAUCGGGUACGGGGCAUAAUCCCUACCCGGGACAUGUCAAUGCGGGGUAUCUAGUUGGAUUGAGCGAAUCGGGUCAAGGGACGAAUCCCUACCCGAAUUUCGCACCGGGUUUUCUGUCCAUUCCAGCGGCGGCGUUCACUGGGCGACUAGAAAUAGGCGAUCCUCUGUUUGUCUCCACCGCUGACGGAUCGGAGCUUUGACUGAUAAACCAGCAACUAACCGGACUAGAGACCUAUUCGAAGUGGUCACAGGAGCUCCGGCGGGCAUUGGUGACAAAAGACAAAGACGGAUUUCUCGAUGGGACAAUUUCCAUCCCCUCCGAUGAACGCCUAGCCGGACACUGGCGGAAAUGCAAUCAACUCGUCCGAAUGUGGAUCAGAAAUUGCAUAUCCCCAGAAGUCAUGGCUGGGCUUCCACCCACAGAGGAUGCCAAAACCAUGUGGGAAAACAUUCGAGAAAUAUACGGUAAAAUGGAUCAAGCAAAAGUUUUUAAUCUUAUGCAGGAAAUUAGCGAACUCAAACAGGGAAAUUCGACGGUCACGGCCUGCUUCAACAGGCUAUCGUCCCUCCUGAAUCAACUCGAAGCAGUAGAAGAAAAGCUCGAAGGGCCAGAAUCUACCCUCAAGCAGUACAAACAAAUCAAAGAGAGAGAAAAAGCCACGCGAUUCUUGCUGAUUUUAAACGAAUCGUACCUCACGUUUCGGUCACAGAUCCUUGUCAUGGAUCCCAUGCCACCGAUCGGACGUAUUUACAAACUGGCGAUGCAGGAGGAGAGUCAGCGACUCACAAUCACGAACAACGGUGAGAGCAUCGCUCUGGCUGCCCGCGGAGAGGGGAGAACCCUAACCCUAGCUCGUGAAAAUGAAAAGAAAAGCCCUUUAGGGUUCGACGAGCUCGAUUCGCGCGGGCUUAAAAGGGAUGGGAUGAACGGCCAGGAUUACAUGCAAGGAUCGAGCGGCUUAGAUUACUCCCGAAAAUAUGACGGCCCAGAUUACGCAUGGAGAUCCGACGGUCGUCAAGGAAUCGAAAUUGCGCCUGGAUUGGACGGUGGACAGCAGAUCGCGAUCAAAGGAACGGACGGCCAGAUCUUCACCACGUCAUCAAAGAAUUUCGCAAAUUUUUUUAAAGGAAAGGGGUAAAUUUUUUUGCGAUUAUUGCAAACGUACUAAUCAUACCAUUGACAGUUGCUGGAAAUUACACGGGAAGCCGGGAGAAAAGGAGAAAAAAAUUUCCACAGCUUAUCAAGUCACUGGACCAGCUGGUCCAAAAAUUGACCAGCCAAUCUCAUAUGGUCAAUAUCAGCAACUCAUGCAAAAACUACAGAAGAUGGAAAUUUCCAACAAAGGGGGCAAUUUCUCAGGUAUUUCACAUUGCCUAAUUAAUUCCAUUUCCAGGAAGGCGUGGAUUAUAAUUCUGGGGCAAGUGACCAUAUUAUACGCGACAAGGGAUUUUUUUUUCAAAUAUAAAUGAAAGUUUGAAUUUUCCUGUCUCCGUACAAUUACCCAACGGAAAUGUUACUCAUGUCAAAGUGAUAGGAACAGUGAAUCUCAGUCCUCAGAUUAUUCUCUAGAAUGUGCUAUAUGUCCCAGAAUUCCAAUUCAACCUCAUAUCUGUGUCUCAAGUCUGCAAAGAGAACUCAUGCCGGGUAAUAUUCAAUGCUGACACAUGUUUAUUUCAGGCCCUUUCGACUGGAAGACAGAUGGACUUGGGUAAUCUUUCUGAAGGACUCUAUUUCUGGACGAGUUUUCCAAGUAAUUUCAAUUUUCCAUGCAAUUCCUUGAAUAAAAAAUCAUUGUGUAAUUCAACUGCCAAUGAUAGAAAUUUGACUAUGCAUAUGAGAUUGGGUCACAGUGCUUCAUUUUCAUAUCAUGAAUGUCUUAUAUGUCCCCUUGCAAAGCAAUCUCGCACACCAUUUUCUUCUAGUACUUCACGGACUAGUCAAAUAUUUGCAUUACUUCACGUGGACAUUUGGGGACCUUAUCAUACAGUCAAUCAUGAUGGCUCCCGUUAUUUUCUUACGAUAGUAGAUGACUAUUCUCGGGCAACAUGGAUCUUCCUAAUACAAUAAAAAAAUUAGGUCUAUUCUCACCUGAAAAAUUUCAUUAUGCUAUCUAAGAACCAAUUCAGGAAAUCCAUUCAGCGGAUUCGCACAGAUAACGGGAGAGAAUUCUUCAGUCAUGAAUGCUCCCAGUUAUUCAAUUCUCAUGGUAUUCGACACGAAAGUUCCUGCAUUUACUCACCACAACAAAAUGGAGUGGUUGAAAGAAAGCAUCGCCAUCUACUGGAAGUGGCUCGUGCCUUGAAAUUUCAAGCAUCAAUUCCAGAAAGAUAUUGGGGUGACUGUGUCACCAUAGCAGCUUAUCUUAUUAAUAGAAUGCCUACUCGGAUUCUUAAUGGACAGAUGCCAUUCGAGCUGUUAUUUGGGAAGAAACCGGACUUGAAUCAUCUCAAGAUCUUCGGAUGUCUCUGCUAUGCUGCAAUCAUGGGGCCUCGAGAUAAAAUGAGCCCAUGUGCGCGGCGAUGCGUCUUUAUGGGAUAUCCCAAUCUCCAGAAGGGGUAUCGGGUGCUUGAGAUUUCCACAGGAGAAUUCAUAGUAAGUCAUGAUGUCAUUUUCCAUGAAACUACUUUUCCAUUUUAUGAAGGGGAAUCUUCACAUGGAGAUCCAAAGAUAACUUCCAGCCAUCAUAAUUUUCUCAAUGAUGAAGCACCAUACCGGGAUCUUUCCUAUGUACCAAUAGUACAGCCGAGGGAUCCUAUUCUUCCUACAGUCCCAGUUCUACAAGAUUCUAAUGGAAAUUCGAAUUCUUCAGAACAUAUUCAGGGAGAUAUCUUGGAGGAACCCAUUGCUGAUGCAGAAGUUGAUGACACUACAACAACUUCAUUACCAGCAACAUCACAGCCCACCACCGAAGCUGGACAUCCUAGGAGGUCUGAACGAGCUACAAGACCACCAACCCGGACGAAAGAUUAUGUCUGUACUACUCACAACUCUCCAAGUAUUCAGUAUCCAGUCUCUUCAUAUGUUUCCUUUGAUAGAUUGUCUCAAGAACAUAGAUGUUGUAUUAGUCGAUUGUUUGAAGAGAAAGAACCGUCCAGUUAUAAAGAAGCCUCCAAUAACCCAAAAUGGCAAGAGACCAUGAAGGCAGAAUUGAAGGCCCUUACUGAUAAUCAUACAUGGGAUCUUGUUCCAUUACCAGCUCAUCGUAAACCAAUUGGAUGCAAAUGGGUUUACAAAAUCAAGUAUCGGGCUGAUGGCUCCAUUGAACGGUACAAGGCAAGAUUGGUAGCUAAGGGGUUCACCCAAAGAGAAGGUUUUGACUACCACGAGACGUUCUCACCAGUUGCCAAAGAUGUUACAGUCCGUUCAUUCUUAGCUGUUGCUGCCAUCAAUGACUGGCACCUACACCAGAUGGAUGUCCAUAAUGCUUUUCUCCAUGGCAAUCUAGAUGAAGAGAUCUACAUGAAUAUUCCUCAAGGCAUACAGAGACAGGGGGAUAAUAAGGUGUGUCGUCUCCGUAAAUCCCUUUAUGGAUUAAAACAGGCAUCCGGACAAUGGUAUGCUAAAUUUGCCAGUGCUCUUACAACAGCAGGCUUCAAGCAAUCCAAGCAUGAUUAUGCUCUGUUCUAAAAAACUAAAGGUAUGUCAUCUAUCUAUUUGAUGAUUUAUGUCGAUGACAUACUUGUUAUGGGAAAUGAUAGAGCCUCUAUAGAGAAUUUCAAGGAAUAUUUGCAUGCUACCUUCCAUAUUAAAGACUUAGGAGCACCAAAAUAUUUCCUUGGAAUCGAAGUUGCUCGAUCUGACAAGGGAAUUUCCCUUAGUCAGCGGAAGUUCAUUCUAGAAAUCAUAUCAGAAGUAGGUCUAUUAGGAUGCAAGCUAGCUGUAAUUCCUAUAGAGCAAAACACUAAGUUGACCAUCGCAGACUAUGAUAAGGGAAUAUUUCGAAAUGAUGAUUCCUUACUCAGUGAUCCGUCAGGCUAUCAAAGACUUGUUGGGAAACUUAUAUACCUGACAAUGACUAGACCUGAUAUCUUAUAUGCGGUUCAGACACUUAGCCAGUUUAUGCAUCAACCAAAGCGUUCUCAUUUGGAUGCAGCCUUAAAGGUCGUUAAAUAUCUCAAGAAAUGUCCGGGGCUAGGGAUACUUCUCUCUAAGGAAUGUGACAUGAGGAUGACAGCAUAUUGUGAUGCAGACUAUGCAACAUGUCCGAUUAGUCGAAGAUCUGUUACUGGAUAUUGCAUUAAAUUGGGAGGAUCUCUUCUAUCUUGGAAAACCAAGAAACAAGCUACUGUGUCUCUGUCCUCAGCCGAAGCAGAAUAUCGAGCUGUGGCCAAGGCCACUUGUCAAGUAGUUUGGAUGCGAGGAUUACUCAAGGAUCUUGGAGUAGAAGUGCAAGGACCCACAAGGUUAUAUUGUGAUAAUGAUACAGCUCUUAAACUUGCAACUAAUCCUAUAGUACAUGAAAGAACCAAGCAUAUAGAAGUGGAUUGUCACUUCACACGGGAAAAGAUCCAGGAAGGAGUAAUUGAGACGAGGAAUUUGGACAACGGAGCAACCAGUAGACUUGUUCACCAAGCCCCUAUGUCAGAGGCAACAUGCAUAUCUAUUAAAAAAGCUAGGCGUCUUGGACAUCUACAAGCCACCAGCUUGAGGGGGAGUGUUGGAAGAUAUGUGGAUUGCCUGAUUUGAUUUGAUCUUAAUUGAUCAUGAUUAAUCACGAUCUUCAUGUAUAUGUAAAUUAAAAAUUAGAUCUAGAUCUAGAUUGAUAGUCUAGAUCAUUUACUUCCUUAUUCAAGAUAGAGCUUGUAUUAUAUCUCUGCAGAAUUGUACAUUCAGAUUGUAAUAGUGAUAAUACAGAAAAAUCUCCCCACAUCGAUUCCCAUUUUCCUCUCUAAACUUCAUCCGUUCUUCCUUCACUCUUGCCUUCUUUCAGGGCAUAUCUACUUUGCCGGCCCUCCCAAGCCCAACCCCGACACGAUCGAGCUUGUCCACCACGCCGUUGAAUCUGGCGUUGCCUUCCUCGACACCUCCGACAUCUAUGGCCUUAACGCCAAGGAAGUCCUCCUUGGAAAGGUCGGUAUUUAUUUUGUAGAUAUAAUUGAAGAUCUUGAUCGUGACGCCAAUCCUAAUUGCGGACUAAUUGAUUUGGUCAAUUUGUGAUUGUUUAGUGAAUAUGGAAAUUUUUGUAAUUCUUUAUAUAUUAUUUCAUUUUUUCUCUUUCAUUCUUACACUAUAAAUAGACCAAUGAACUAAUAUACAGAUCAAUCAAUAUACAACAAAAUUUUCUUCAUUUUCUCUUUUGUUUUCUAUUAUGUUAUCAGUGUCAUUCUUCCUCGCCUAGCUUCCCAUAUCUUAGAGUUGCCUUUCUUUUUUUCUUUGUUUUUUUUUUUUUUUUGGUUAUUGCAAGUCCUCAUCCUGCAAUACAAAUCAGCAAAUCGAUUAGGAAUUCAAUUUUUUUUUUCAAUACCAAGGCAAAAAAUAAGAACACUGAGAGCUCCAUGAUAGAGGAGACACCUACCUCACCUCAAAAUCAAGCCCCAUCGCCGUCGGAUUCGAUUAUGAUUUGGGACAAUAUAUUUUAAUCAUUUCGAGAUAAUCUUUAACUGAUCAUGCUCUUCCAGAUACACAGCAAUUGCGCACUUCCAAAUGCUUAUUAUGUCAAGUAACAUGACAAUCUGAUGGCAUGCAACGCAACCAAUUUUGCACUCGUUGAUGUAGAAUUUGGCGUUAAAAGGAAAAUGAUGGUUGCUCGUAUGCUCUCUGCUUAGACAUUGCUUUAUGUUAUGAAGUACCUACCAAGGCUGCGGCCAGAGAACUUGGCUAAUGCAAAGUUAUUCGACCAAGUGAAUGAAAUUGCACAAAGAAAGGGAUGCACCCCAUUGCAGUUAACCCUCGCCUGGGUACACCACUGGAGUGAUGACGUUUGCCCGAUUACCGGCACGAUCAAGAUCGAGAAUUUCAACCAGAACAUUGGAGCUCUGUCAGUGAAGCUUUCGCCAGAAGAGAUGGCCAAGCUCAAAUCGAUUGCUUAUACGGACAAUGUCAGGCGUGAGAAUUAAAACCACAUUUGAUACUAAAUUAUGCCUAGGUAGGAAUUCAAAACUCCACCUCCCGCUUUUCAUGUGGGAAGGUUGGCCCCACCUCGCGCUUAUGGAAAGAGUAAUCACGAAGACAUCACAAUAGUUCAAUUGACGUGAGCAGGUACGUCUUCCCUACAUGGUAAGGGUCGUCACUGGGCGUGCAAUUGACGUAAGCACGUGCGUCUUCACAGCCACUACCGCUCCCCUCCUACUCAUCGUAGCUUCUGCCACUACCCUCCUAUAAAUCUCGGCUCGCCCGACGACUUCGCCAUCGUCUCGGUGCAGUGCAGGGAACGAUCGAGCUCGAGCUAGACUACGGCAAUGGCGGCAUCGACGACGACGGUGAGGAGGAUCAAGCUGGGGUCGCAGGGCCUGGAGGUGUCGGCGCAGGGGCUGGGCUGCAUGAGCAUGUCCGCCUUCUACGGCCCUCCCAAGUCCGAGCCCGACAUGAUCGCCCUCAUCCACCACGCCGUCGGCUCCGGCGUCACCUUCCUCGACACCUCCGACUUCUACGGUCCUCACACCAACGAAAUCCUCCUCGGAAAGGUCGUUCUCUCAGUCUCUCUUUUGCCUCUGCAUGAAUUAUAUAUGCUUAUGGUUUUACGGAACUUAGCUUCAUCGAGCAGGAUGCUCUGAUCCUGCGCCUUGGUUUUCUGAUUUCGGGGUUGAUUUUGAGCAGGCACUGAAGGGAGGGGUGAGGCAGAAGGUGGAAUUGGCGACCAAGUUCGGAAUCAGAUUGGCGGACGGGAAGAGGGAGAUCCAGGGCGAUCCGGCGUACGUGAGGGCUGCUUGCGAGGCCAGCUUGAAGCGGCUCGACAUCGAUUGCAUCGACCUCUACUACCAGCACCGUAUCGACACUCGCGUCCCCAUUGAAGUCACUGUAUGGAUCCCUUAUCAAACUUUCACCUCGCUUGAGACUUUCUCUGAGCCAUACGAUGCAUCGUCAUGUUGUUACAAGUUUGUUGAAUUUUGUUAAAUGACACUUAAGUUCAGCUGAUAGCAGAGUUCAAGAUGCGGCACGGUGUUGUUCAAGGGUUGUGGAAUUUAGUAGUUUAGUGGCUUGAGUUUUCGUUUUGUGGGAAUCUUUUACAAGUUAAGGGUCAACAAGCAUGGAAAUUAUUCGAAAUCUUCCUUUGAGAUGAAAGUGCUCCGGGGUUCAUCCUGAAUUUAUAUACGGGAAUCACAUAUAAAGUUGUUCCUGGACUUUAUACGGAGACAUUUGAUUCUUGACAUAUUGUGAAAUAUGACAAGUACUUGGAAUACUUCUUUUAUUUGCUCUCUUCUGUGAGAGAUUCAAGAAAUCUACCUCCGUUAACUCAAUUCCUUGUGGGUUUUUUGUCGCAUUGAGAUGCAUGAUAAUUGAGGGAUCUAGACACAAAAAGCUAAUGACAAAAAUAAUUUUCUGGAUCUUAACAUGUAAGAUCUUGAUGUUGUUGUUCUGUCAUGUGAAUAUGCACAGAUCGGAGAGCUAAAGAAGCUCGUUGAAGAGGGUAAGAUAAAGUACAUCGGUUUAUCCGAGGCCUCUGCAUCAACAAUCAGAAGAGCACAUGCUGUUCAUCCCAUCACAGCAGUGCAAUUGGAGUGGUCGCUUUGGUCCAGAGAUGUGGAGGCGGACAUCGUUCCAACGUGCAGGUAGGAUAUCACUCCGUUAAUUGUUUAUGCAGCAACAACAGCUUCCUUCUGACUCUGCUUUUCCUUUAAAAUGUUGACUAGGGAGCUUGGCAUUGGAAUUGUUGCCUACAGUCCUUUAGGACGAGGAUUCUUUUCUGUUGGCUCCAAGUUGGCGGAGAAUUUCUCAAAGGAUGACUUCAGACAGGUCUGUUUCUGCUGGUCGACAUAAUUAGAUGCUCACAGUGACUGUCAUUCUCAUUGAAGUGCUGGAAACCUGUUCUUGUGGUAUAAAGAAAAGUUUCUGGAUGGGAUGAAUAAAACUUGGUGACACAAAUGCAUCACGUUCUUAUAUGUCUUCAAUCCAGCACUCGCCAGACAUACUACCUCUCUCGAUUCUAGAUAAAUGUAAAAUCACAAGUAAUGGCUUUAGUGAGCCUGAAAGAGGUAGGUUCCCGGAUUCUCAUUCUUUUGGGAAUGAAUACAUAUAGGUUUAUAUGUAAGUUGCUCUGUUUCCCAGCCUUCCCAACAUUUGCUUAUCACUAUCCUUUCCCCACUUUCCACCCACCCUUUUUCUCUCAUCUUUCUUCACAAGAUUAGCGAUAUUUCCUCGAAAUAACUGACGCCAGUAUCGGGCUCUGGCCUUCCGUCCUUUUUCAUUCUCAUCUUUCUUCACAAGAUAAACUAUAUCUUGACACAACCAUUUCUUGAGUGAGGACUCACGACACCCUUCUUAUGAGAGUUUUGGAUCAAGUUCCCAUCUGACAUAAAGCCAAUUGUGUAUUACUCCCUGCCAUUAGCGUUUGACUAGCGAUAGCGCUGGGCAAGUGAAGUAGCUAUUUUUCUUUGUAGCUAAAAGAGCUCUGCGUCUGAUAACAUUCUUCUACACAUCAUCUACAUUUCUGAUUUUUUAUUUUAUGUGUGACUAAUGGUAUCAUCACACGUACAAAACUUAGAUUGUCGAGUUUGUUUCUGUUUUCACAUCCUACAUCAAGCCCAUCAGCCUUGUGUGGUAGUUGCUAGAUCACUUCGCUUGACGUUUCUAAUGCUUAUGAUUUGGGACAUGAUAUUUUAAUCAUUUCAAGAUUAUUUAUAACUGAUCAUGCUUAUCCAGAUAGACAACGAUUGCACACUUCUAAAUGCUUAUUAUGUCAAGUAACAAGACAAUCUGAUGGCAUGCAAUGCAACCACUUUUGCACUUGUUGCUGUAGAAUUUAGCCUUAAAAGGAAAAUGAUAAUUGCAAUUGCUUUCUGCUGAGACAUUGCUCUAUGUUAUGCAGUAUCAUCCAAGGUUCCAGCCAGAGAACUUGGCUCACAACACGAAGUUAUUUGACCGAGUGAAUGAAAUUGCGCAAAGAAAGGGAUGCACCCCAUCUCAGUUAGCCCUGGCCUGGGUACACCACCAUGGUGACGACAUUUGCCCGAUUCCCGGCACAACCAAGAUCGAGAAUUUCAACCAGAACAUUGGAGCUCUGUCAGUGAAGCUUACACAGGAAGAGAUGGCCGAGCUUGAAUUGAUUGCUUCUGCGGACAAUGUCAAGGGUGGCAGGUAUGAUGGAAGCAUAUCUACAUGGGAAAACUCCGACACUCCACCCCUUUCUUCUUGGAAACCUGCCUAGAAGCGUGUCUGCUUCUGUUGCUGCAUCUUUGAUGUGCAGAGUUUGAGCAUUUGCCGCUGAAGUAAUUUGAGUUGAUGUUGUGUGGCUGUUAUAAGUAUGUGUAAUAAGAGAGUGACUGUUUUCAUUUUGUACAUGUGACAUUCACUAUGAGAAGAUUAUGGAUGUGUACUAAC